UACAGAGGUCCCAAGCGUCGUUCGGAUUCAUUGGGCGUAAAGGGCGCGUAGGCGGCCCACUUUGGCAAGUCGGGGGGGAAAGCUCGGGGCUUAACCCCGAAAGGGCCCCCGAUACUGCCGGGCUUUUUUAUAGAGGGCUGGAGAGGAGAUCGGAAUUCACGGUGUAGCAGUGAAAUGCGUAGAGCUCGUGAGGAAGACCGGUGGCGAAGGCGGAUCUCUGGACAGCACCUGACGCUGAGGCGCGAAGGCUAGGGGAGCAAACGGG
rnacentral:rRNA from 1 species